CCGCCGGCGACCGGCGCACGGGUGAGUAACACGUAUGCAACCUGGCCGUGACAGAUGGAUAACCGGGAGAAAUCCCGCCUAAUACAACAUAAUGCCGGGAGGGGACAUCCCCUGCCGGCCAAAGGGGGCGACCCCGGUCACGGAUGGGCAUGCGGCGCAUUAGGCAGUUGGUGGGGCAACGGCCCACCAAGCCGACGAUGCGUAGGGGUUCUGAGAGGAAGGUCCCCCACAUUGGAACUGAGACACGGUCCAAACUCCUACGGGAGGCAGCAG
rnacentral:rRNA from 1 species